rnacentral:rRNA from 1 species
GGAUUAGAUACCCUGGUAGUCCACGCCGUAAACGAUGUCUACUUGGAGGUUGUUCCCUUGAGGAGUGGCUUUCGGAGCUAACGCGUUAAGUAGACCGCCUGGGGAGUACGGUCGCAAGAUUAAAACUCAAAUGAAUUGACGGGGGCCCGCACAAGCGGUGGAGCAUGUGGUUUAAUUCGAUGCAACGCGAAGAACCUUACCUACUCUUGACAUCUACAGAAGCCAGCGGAGACGCAGGUGUGCCUUCGGGAACUGUAAGACAGGUGCUGCAUGGCUGUCGUCAGCUCGUGCUG